AAGGGGAUUAAAGGUGCAAACCGCCGAAAGGAUUGGAAUAUGUCCUAUUAGCUAGUUGGCGGGAUAAAAGCCCACCAAGGCAAUGAUAGGUAGCUGGUCUAAGAGGAUGAACAGCCACAAUGGGAUUGAGAUACGGCCCAUAUUCCUACGGGAAGCAGCAGUAGGGAAUCUUCCACAAUGGGCGAAAGCCUGAUGGAGCAAUGCCAUGUGAAUGAUGAAGGCCAGACAGGUCGUAAAGUUCUUUUAGAGGGGAAAAAUCUGAUGGUACCCUCUGAAUAAGUGACAGCAAACUAUGUGCCAGCAGCUGCGGUAAUACAUAGGUCGCGAGCGUUAUUCGGAUUUAUUGGGCGUAAAGCAAGCGCAGGCGGAUGAAUAAGUUCUGCAUUAAAAGCAGCUGCUUAACAGUUGUUUGUGCCGAAUACUAUUCAUCUAGAAUGUGGUAGGAAGUUUUGGAAUUAAAUAUGGAGCGGUGGAAUGUGUAGAUAUAUUUAAGAACACCAGAGGCGAAGGCGAAAACUUAGGCCAUUAUUGACGCUUAGGCUUGAAAGUGUGGGUAGCAAAUGGGAUUAGAUACCCCAGUAGUCCACACCGUAAACGAUGGGUAUUAGAUGUCGGGAUUUGUGUUUCGGCGUUGUAGCUUACGUGUUAAAUACCCCGCCUGGGUAGUACAUAUGCAAAUAUGAAACUCAAAGGAAUUGACGGGGACCUGAACAAGUGGUGGAACAUGUUGCUUAAUUCGAUAAUACACGAAAAACCUUACCAAGGUUUGACAUCCUUUGCAAAGCCAUAGAAAUAUGGUGGAGGUUAUCAGAGUGACAGGUGGUGCAUGGUUGUCGUCAGCUCGUGUCAUGAGAUGUUUGGUUAAGUCCCGCAACGAGCGCAACCCUACUCUUUAGUUGCUUUUCUAAAGAGACUGAACAGUAAUGUAUAGGAAGGAUGGGAUCACGUCAAAUCAUCAUGCCCCUUAUGCCUUGGGCCGCAAACGUG
rnacentral:rRNA from 1 species